GUCCAGCUGACGAGUCUCAAAUAGGACGAAAUGCGUGUAAAACUGGAU
rnacentral:hammerhead_ribozyme from 1 species